rnacentral:lncRNA from 1 species
AUGUCGCUGUACUUGAUAAUAUCCAGGACCGGAUCCUUAGCUGGUGCCUAUUUACAUCAGCCAAGCAUAUGCACUGUGAAUUUAGUCCUUGUGAGAGAAGCUAAAUUGAAAGUCCUGGAAACCAAUUUCCUCUAUUAUAGAUCUAAUAGAGCAGAGGCAGUACUCCUGACAGCGUGUUUCAACCCUGCUCUGGACAGUUCAUCCUUCAUGGUUAGAGCGACUCUGUGCCCAUUCAGUCUUUGACCUCUCUAUUCACAAUACCAUCAAGAAUGUCUAUUGCACACUGUGAUUUUGUCAAUCUGAAAAAGAAAAAGGAAAAAAAACACACGAGAAAAUGCAAUGUUCAGAAGUACUCAUCUGGGCUCCUUCUAACAGUGUCUGUAAAAUGGUUAUCAGCCCAAUCUGUGUUAGAGAAAGAUGCUACCAACCCUGCUGUUGCGCUGGCUUACGUCAUUAAGGCAAGUAUCCUUUUGAUAAACACUUCUCAGCAAAGUUAGUGCUGACUAAAAAAGAAAGAGAAACCUACUUUUGAAUAGAACUGGAUGAAUUUUGGGAGGAACAAUUACUAAUCUUUAUUUGAAUUUUUAAAACUUCAUUCUGACAGCCUUUGGAAACCUUUGAUUUCUGUAAAUACUCUAGCAAAUGAUUUUACUAAAACAUUCACUAAAUUGCAGUUAAACACAGAAAAUACAGUCCAAAUUAACAUCAAGAGUAUUUACACUGAAAUCUGGUUUUAAGAAUUACACAUAUCCAAAUGGGAAACAGAAAGAUGGUAUGUACGUGUCCACUAAAAAAGAGCAUGGACUUUCUGAUGAGUAGACCUGGUCAAACUUUGUUGAAUUUUGAAUUUUUGAUAACAUUUAAAUCAUGUUCCAAAAUUUGAAGAAGAAAAAAAAAGCAAAAGAAAACCACAAACCAAAAACACACACACACACACACACACACACACACACACACAANNNNNNNNNNNNNNNNNNNNCACACACACACACACACACACAACACACACACACACACACACACACACACACACACACUUAAAAAAACCCAACACAGACAAAUUUUGGAAACAUUUUGAUAAGAUUUUUAAAACAACAUUUUCCCUAUGCGUUUUAUUCAAUGAUAGAGCUAGUUGGGAUGUUUCAAAAAGUGAAAUAGGAACUUAAAUUUGAUUUGACUACUUUUGCUAUUAGAGUUUGGUGAAUAAUAAAAUAUUAAAUUAAAAUGUUUUCA